UACGUAGGGGCCUAGCGUUGUCCGGAUUUAUUGGGCGUAAAGAGCUCGUAGGCGGUUCGGUAAGUCAGGUGUGAAAUCUCCACGCUCAACGUGGAGGCGCCACCUGAAACUGCCGUGACUAGAGUCCGGUAGGGGAGUGUGGAAUUCCCCGGGUGUGAGCGGUGAAAUGCGCAGAGUAUCGGGAGGAACACCAGUGGCGAAGGCGGCA
rnacentral:rRNA from 1 species